CUGCCUAAUCUCAUGUUGAAUUUUAAUUUCUAGUGUUGGAAGUGGGGCCUGGUUGGAAGUAUUUGGAUUACGGAGGAUGAUCCUUCAUGGUUUAGUGCUUUCCUCGUGACAGUGAGUGAGUUCUCAGGAUAUCCGUUUUUUUUUUUUUUUUUUUUUUUAAUGUGUGGCACUCCUCCCCUGAUCUCUUGCUCCCCUUUUUUGCUAUGUCAUGUGCCUGCUCCUGCUUCGCAUUCCACCGUGAGUAAAAGCUCCUGAGGCCUCCCGAGAAGUCAAGCAGUUGCUGGAACCAUGCUUCCUGUACCACCUGGGGAACGUUACUUCAUGGCAUGCUCAGAAAGGAAAGCCCAGGAACUGCUCCUGUACCCAGCUACCCCAUUAAUAAAAUGAUAGAAAGCAAUGAACAGAAGUCACCUCCCUGAUAUCGUGAUGGGGUAGGUGUGAUUGCCAAAAUAAUCUCUGAAGUACCAUGUCUUCAACUGUUCUACAACUGACAAGUGGAUUGACAGAAAAAAAAUUGUUGAAUUCGUACAAUGAAGUAACAUGACAAAGUAGAACAAUCAGAAUUUGUUGUCAGAACUUUCAGGCCAGGCGCGAUGGCUCACACCUGUAAUCCCAGCACUUUGGGAGGCCUAGGUGGGUGGAUCACCUGAGGUUAGGCGUUCAAGACCAGCCUGGUCAAGAUAGUGAAACCCCAUCUCUACUAAAAAUACAAAAAUUAGCCGGGUGUGGUAGAGGUUGCCUGUAAUCUCAGCUACUCAGGAGACUGAGGCAGGAGAAUCGCUUGAACCCGGGAGGUGAAGGUUGCAGUGAGCCAAGAUUGUGCCACUGCACUCCAGCCUGGGCAACAGAG
rnacentral:lncRNA from 1 species